rnacentral:rRNA from 1 species
UUCGCACGAUGAAGCCCAGCCUUGCUGGGUGGAUUAGUGGCGAACGGGUGAGUAACACGGUGCAGGUAACCUGCCCUUGACUCUGGGAUAAGCCUGGGAAACUGGGUCUAAUACUGGAUAUGACUUCUCACCGCAUGGUGGGGGGUGGAAAGAUUUAUUGGUCUUGGAUGGACUCGCGGCCUAUCAGCUUGUUGGUGAGGUAAUGGCUCACCAAGGCGACCACGGGUAGCCGGCCUGAGAGGGUGACCGGCCACACUGGGACUGAGACACGGCCCAGACUCCUACGGGAGGCAGCAGUGGGGAAUAUUGCACAAUGGGCGCAAGCCUGAUGCAGCGACGCCGCGUGAGGGAUGACGGCCUUCGGGUUGUAAACCUCUUUCAGUAGGGAAGAAGCGAAAGUGACGGUACCUGCAGAAGAAGCGCCGGCUAACUACGUGCCAGCAGCCGCGGUAAUACGUAGGGCGCGAGCGUUAUCCGGAAUUAUUGGGCGUAAAGAGCUCGUAGGCGGUUUGUCGCGUCUGCCGUGAAAGUCCGGGGCUUAACCCCGGAUCUGCGGUGGGUACGGGCAGACUAGAGUGCAGUAGGGGAGACUGGAAUUCCUGGUGUAGCGGUGAAAUGCGCAGAUAUCAGGAGGAACACCGAUGGCGAAGGCAGGUCUCUGGGCUGUAACUGACGCUGAGGAGCGAAAGCAUGGGGAGCGAACAGGAUUAGAUACCCUGGUAGUCCAUGCCGUAAACGUUGGGCACUAGGUGUGGGGGACAUUCCACGUUUUCCGCGCCGUAGCUAACGCAUUAAGUGCCCCGCCUGGGGAGUACGGCCGCAAGGCUAAAACUCAAAGGAAUUGACGGGGGCCCGCACAAGCGGCGGAGCAUGCGGAUUAAUUCGAUGCAACGCGAAGAACCUUACCAAGGCUUGACAUGUUCCUGACCGCCGUAGAGAUACGGUUUCCCCUUUGGGGCAGGUUCACAGGUGGUGCAUGGUUGUCGUCAGCUCGUGUCGUGAGAUGUUGGGUUAAGUCCCGCAACGAGCGCAACCCUCGUUCCAUGUUGCCAGCACGUAGUGGUGGGGACUCAUGGGAGACUGCCGGGGUCAACUCGGAGGAAGGUGGGGACGACGUCAAAUCAUCAUGCCCCUUAUGUCUUGGGCUUCACGCAUGCUACAAAUGGCCGGUACAAUGGGUUGCGAUACUGUGAGGUGGAGCUAAUCCCAAAAAGCC